rnacentral:rRNA from 1 species
GAUGAACGCUGGCGGCGUGCCUAAUACAUGCAAGUAGAACGCUGAAGGAGGAGCUUGCUCUUCUGGAUGAGUUGCGAACGGGUGAGUAACGCGUAGGUAACCUGCCUGGUAGCGGGGGAUAACUAUUGGAAACGAUAGCUAAUACCGCAUGACAACAGUUAUUGCAUGAUAACUGUUUAAAAGGGGCAACUGCUCCACUACCAGAUGGACCUGCGUUGUAUUAGCUAGUUGGUGAGGUAACGGCUCACCAAGGCGACGAUACAUAGCCGACCUGAGAGGGUGAUCGGCCACACUGGGACUGAGACACGGCCCAGACUCCUACGGGAGGCAGCAGUAGGGAAUCUUCGGCAAUGGACGGAAGUCUGACCGAGCAACGCCGCGUGAGUGAAGAAGGUUUUCGGAUCGUAAAGCUCUGUUGUAAGUGAAGAACGAGUGUGAGAGUGGAAAGUUCACACUGUGACGGUAUCUUACCAGAAAGGGACGGCUAACUACGUG